rnacentral:rRNA from 1 species
CUACGGGUCGCUGCAGUAGGGAAUAUUCCGCAAUGGACGAAAGUCUGACGGAGCGACACCGCGUGGAGGAUGACGGCCUAAGGGUUGUAAACUCCUUUUCUGUAGGAAGAAGAUCUGACGGUACUACAGGAAUAAGCCCCGGCUAAUUACGUGCCAGCAGCCGCGGUAAUACGUAAGGGGCAAGCGUUGACCGGAAUCAUUGGGCGUAAAGCGUCCGCAGGCGGAGAUGUAAGUCAGUUAUUAAAUACCGGAGCUCAACUUCGGUGCCGUAAUUGAAACUACAUUUCUAGAGGAUAGGAGAGGUGUGUGGAAUUGUGCAAGUAGGGGUAAAAUCCGUAGAUAUGCACAGGAAUACCAAAAGCGAAGGCAACACACUGGACUAUUCCUGACGCUCAGGGACGAAAGCGUAGGUAGCAAAACGGAUUAGAUACCCCGGUAGUC